GCAACUAAAGCUUUUAGAAGCAUUAGUUUUGUAAACUAAAAGAAGAACCAUCAAUUUCUAGUUGCU
rnacentral:tRNA from 1 species